AACGAACGCUGGCGGCGUGCCUAACACAUGCAAGUCGAACGGAACCUUCCGGCUUUGUGGCGGAGGGCUGGGUAAGACCGGGUAACCUGCCCUUGGGUUAGCUAUAACUCAGUGUAAGAUGACCUCAGACAGCUGGAUGUCUUCGCGCCAAAGAGUUCUCGCCGUUGGAUGGGCCCGUGUUGGAUUAGCUGGUUGGUGGGGGAAAGGCAUACCAAGGCGAGGUUGCAUAGCUGGUCUGGUAGGAUGCCCAGCCGCACUGGGACUGAGACACGGCCCAGACUGCUACGCAAGGGAGCAGUGGGGAAUAUUGGACGCUGGGGGAAGGCCUGAUCCAGCAAUGCCGGGUGAGUGAGGAAGGCCGUAGGGUUGUAAAGCUGUUUUACACGAGAUGAUAAUGACAGUAACGGGAGAAUAAGCUCCGGCUAACUCCGUG
rnacentral:rRNA from 1 species